GCAUAUCAAUAAGCGGAGGAAAAGAAACCAACAGGGAUUGCCCUAGUAACGGCGAGUGAAGCGGCAACAGCUCAAAUUUGAAAUCUGGCGUCUUUGGCGUCCGAGUUGUAAUUUGCAGAGGGCGCUUUGGCAUUGGCAGCGGUCCAAGUUCCUUGGAACAGGACGUCACAGAGGGUGAGAAUCCCGUACGUGGUCGCUAGCCUUUACCGUGUAAAGCCCCUUCGACGAGUCGAGUUGUUUGGGAAUGCAGCUCUAAAUGGGAGGUAAAUUUCUUCUAAAGCUAAAUACUGGCCAGAGACCGAUAGCGCACAAGUAGAGUGAUCGAAAGAUGAAAAGCACUUUGGAAAGAGAGUUAAAAAGCACGUGAAAUUGUUGAAAGGGAAGCGCUUGCAGCCAGACUUGCCUGUAGUUGCUCAUCCGGGUUUUUACCCGGUGCACUCUUCUAUAGGCAGGCCAGCAUCAGUUUGGGCGGUUGGAUAAAGGUCUCUGUCACGUACCUCCUCUCGGGGAGAACUUAUAGGGGAGACGUAAUGCAACCAGCCUGGACUGAGGUCCGCGCAUCUGCUAGGAUG
rnacentral:rRNA from 1 species